GAUGAACGCUGGCGGCGUGCCUAAUACAUGCAAGUCGAGCGAACAGAUGAGGAGCUUGCUCCUCUGACGUUAGCGGCGGACGGGUGAGUAACACGUGGAUAACCUACCUAUAAGACUGGGAUAACUUCGGGAAACCGGAGCUAAUACCGGAUAAUAUAUUGAACCGCAUGGUUCAAUAGUGAAAGACGGUUUUGCUGUCACUUAUAGAUGGAUCCGCGCCGCAUUAGCUAGUUGGUAAGGUAACGGCUUACCAAGGCAACGAUGCGUAGCCGACCCGAGGGGGUGAUCGGCCACACUGGAACUGAGACACGGUCCAGACUCCUACGGGAGGCCGCAGUAGGGAAUCUUCCGCAAUGGGCGAAAGCCUGACGGAGCAACGCCGCGUGAGUGAUGAAGGUCUUCGGAUCGUAAAACUCUGUUAUUAGGGAAGAACAAAUGUGUAAGUAACUAUGCACGUCUUGACGGUACCUAAUCAGAAAGCCACGGCUAACUACGUG
rnacentral:rRNA from 1 species